CCCAGGUAGAGCGGGAACUGCCCACGCUGAGUGUCCUAUCUCCUGUCGCUCAAGACCCCAGGCCCCCGUUGCAAGGGAUGGAUAUGGGCUGUGACAGAUGUACUAAUCUGUCCUUAACAUCAGGAGCACAAAAAGUCUGCAUUGCUGAAUCAACACUGUCCCUCUGGCUCAGCUAAGCGGUACUUAACGAAGCAGAGACCUAGCCUGCGCGCUUGACGGACCAGGGAACUCGGAGGCACCUGGCUGCCUGCACGCUCACCUGCAGCGCUCUCUCCGGUCAGGAUCAGGGUGAGCUCCGCGGAGCCGCCCACACCCACACGGAGCCAGGCAGGAGGCCAGGUUCCCGACCUGUCAAUCACGGCUGGGUUCGCAGCUGCGCGCUCCGCGGCGGCCCCAGCGCACUGCUCCUCCGAGGGAGAUAAACAUCGAGAAAUCCAAUCCAGCGCGGCCUCGGAGAUAAACAGAUGUGCAGGCCGCCAUCGGUCAGGAGAUAACGCCCCCACCCCGCCCCACGCGCCCGCCAGGGCCCUGCACCUGCCCGGGGCGACCAGGACGCGCCUCUUGGGAGGCAGGCUGCGUCCCCCCAGCCUGGAGAAUUGGUCUCUAGUACCGAGGGUGGGGGUGGAGUUAGCGAAGAGAAAAAGCACGAUUUGGAACAAACUAGCAACAGAACCUGGGCUUUGGAACCGAUUGCCAAGGUUCGAAUCCUGACUCUGCCAUUGUUUGACAAGCGACAGCAACUCUAAGCCUGGGAGUUCUCAUCUGUGCCAUGGGGAUAAACACCGGUGCCAACUGCGGGGCUUGGCACCCUUCAUGUUGAAGUAGGUUGCACAAAGAAAGCCUCAAUAAAUAAUGGGGGCUAACAUUA